GUAAGGGCGACUGAACGGGGAAAAGCUCAGCAUGUGAAUCUGCGCCUUGGCGCUGAAUUGUGGUCUGUUGACUCUGGCGUUAUUGGCCGGGCUAAGUCCCUUGGAACAGGGCAGCAUAGAGGGUGAGACUCCCGUCUGCCUGGCCUUUUGAGCUGGAUGUCUACGAGUCGAGUUGUUUGGGAUUGCAGCUCAAAGUGGGUGGUAAAUUCCAUCUAAAGCUAAAUAUUGGUGGGAAACCGAUAGCGUACAAGUACCGUGAGGGAAAGAUGCAAAGAACUUUGAAAAGAGAGUUAAAGAGUACCUGAAAUUGCUGAAAGGGAAGCGAAGGAAACCAGUGCUUGCCGAGGCAUAUUUCUCCCUCCGCUUGCGGGGUGGGCGCUGUGUCUUGGCCUGGGUCAGGCUUGGUUCGGUUGGUCAGAAAGGCGUAGUGGGAGUUGCCCACUGCUUGCCUGUGACUGGCAGACUGAGGCUGACAAAAUGGUUUUCUU
rnacentral:rRNA from 1 species